rnacentral:rRNA from 1 species
CCGGAGAAUGUUAUCACGGGAGACACACGGCGGGUGCUAACGUCCGUCGUGAAGAGGGAAACAACCCAGACCGCCAGCUAAGGUCCCAAAGUCAUGGUUAAGUGGGAAACGAUGUGGGAAGGCCCAGACAGCCAGGAUGUUGGCUUAGAAGCAGCCAUCAUUUAAAGAAAGCGUAAUAGCUCACUGGUCGAGUCGGCCUGCGCGGAAGAUGUAACGGGGCUAAACCAUGCACCGAAGCUGCGGCAGCGAACGUAUCACUUAAAGCGAUUCAGCGGGUUACGAUUGACGGAGCGAAGCGACGUCAAAGCGUAUACAAAGUCGAGUCGGUUUAAGGAUACGUUCGUUGGGUAGGGGAGCGUUCUGUAAGCCUGUGAAGGUGGCCUGUGAGGGUUGCUGGAGGUAUCAGAAGUGCGAAUGCUGACAUAAGUAACGAUAAAGCGGGUGAAAAGCCCGCUCGCCGGAAGACCAAGGGUUCCUGUCCAACGUUAAUCGGGGCAGGGUGAGUCGACCCCUAAGGCGAGGCCGAAAGGCGUAGUCGAUGGGAAACGGGUUAAUAUUCCCGUACUUGGUGUUACUGCGAAGGGGGGACGGAGAAGGCUAUGUUGGCCGGGCGACGGUUGUCCCGGUUUAAGCGUGUAGGUGUGUGUUCCAGGUAAAUCCGGUUCACUUUAACACUGAGGCGUGACGACGAGGCACUACGGUGCUGAAGCAACAAAUGCCCUGCUUCCAGGAAAAGCCUCUAAGCAUCAGGUAACAUCAAAUCGUACCCCAAACCGACACAGGUGGUCAGGUAGAGAAUACCAAGGCGCUUGAGAGAACUCGGGUGAAGGAACUAGGCAAAAUGGUGCCGUAACUUCGGGAGAAGGCACGCUGACACGUAGGUGAAGUGAUUUACUCAUGGAGCUGAAGUCAGUCGAAGAUACCAGCUGGCUGCAACUGUUUAUUAAAAACACAGCACUGUGCAAACACGAAAGUGGACGUAUACGGUGUGACGCCUGCCCGGUGCCGGAAGGUUAAUUGAUGGGGUCAGCGCAAGCGAAGCUCCUGAUCGAAGCCCCGGUAAACGGCGGCCGUAACUAUAACGGUCCUAAGGUAGCGAAAUUCCUUGUCGGGUAAGUUCCGACCUGCACGAAUGGCGUAAUGAUGGC